rnacentral:rRNA from 1 species
UUGGAGGGCAAGUCUGGUGCCAGCAGCCGCGGUAAUUCCAGCUCCAAUAGCGUAUAUUAAAGUUGUUGCAGUUAAAAAGCUCGUAGUUGAAUUUCGGGAUUGACACAUCGGUCGUGCCUUAAGGGGUAUGAACUGGUGUAGUCAAUUUCUCACCUUCUGGAGAACCGCGAUGCCCUUAAUUGGGUGUCGCGGGGAACCAGGACCUUUACUUUGAAAAAAUUAGAGUGUUUAAAGCAGGCAUUUUGCAUGAAUACAUUAGCAUGGAAUGAUAAAAUAGGACGGCAUGAUUCUAUUUUGUUGGUUUCUAGGAUCACCGUAAUGAUUAAUAGGGAUAGUUGGGGGCAUUAGUAUUCAAUUGUCAGAGGUGAAAUUCUUGGAUUUAUUGAAGACUAACUACUGCGAAAGCAUUUGCCAAGGAUGUUUUCAUUAAUCAAGAACGAAGGUUAGGUGAUCGAAGACGAUCAGAUACCGUCGUGGUCUUAACCAUAAACUAUGCCGACUAGGAAUCAGACGAUGUUAAUUUUUUAAUGACUCGUUUGGCACCUUACGGGAAACCAAAGUGUUUGGGUUC